rnacentral:rRNA from 1 species
CCCUUAGAUGUCCUGGGCCGCACGCGCGCUACACUGAUGCAUUCAACGAGUUUUACCUUGGCCGAGAGGCCUGGGCAAUCUUUUAAACCUGCAUCGUGAUGGGGAUAGAUUAUUGCAAUUAUUAAUCUUCAACGAGGAAUUCCCAGUAAGCGCGAGUCAUAAGCUCGCGUUGAUUACGUCCCUGCCCUUUGUACACACCGCCCGUCGCUACUACCGAUUGGAUGGUUUAGUGAGAUCCUCGGAUUGGUCCCGGAGCGGCCUCUGGUCGUGCCGGAGUGCCGAAAAGAAUGUCGAACUUGAUCAUCUAGAGGAAGUAAAAGUCGUAACA